CAUCGAGUUCCUGAGUUUUUUGUUUGUUUUUUCUUAGCUUUUUUUUUUUUUUGUGAACAAGCUCAUAAACAGUCAUCUCUAAUAAAGUGGCUACUGAGUGUAUAUAUUAUACUUUCAAAACCAGGACAGAGGCUUUCAGUCUAAAAAAAACGAUUUUAACAAAUCCCCCAAUGUUCCAGAUGAGUGUGAAUGAACUAAAUGUCCAGUUGACAUUGUCUUAGCCAGGCUCCAUUGACUAUCUAAUGUAAAUCUGUUCACAAGUUGCCAUAAAUACAAUAACUGCCUGCCUAAGCUAUUUUAAGCUUGUGGGGGAAAAAAGCACAUAAAACCAAAAUAUCUACCUCCUGUAGUGAUUUAGAAGCUUGUCUAGCUCACGUCACUCACUUGCUGUCGUUGAAUAUUUUGGUGCACAAUUCUGAUGCAUCGCAUCACUACAACUGCGAAGGUUUAUUUGCACACUCACUGAGGAAUUGGAAAGCUGUCAUAUCUACUAUUUGUUCUGGUAAUUAGUCGCACCUAAAGCAACAAUGGCCUUGAUCUGCAUGAUGUCUUCAACGAGGAGAGUGUAAACAUUAAAAACAGACAUUUGUUUUCCUUAAAUGAUAAAAAAAAAAAUUUCACUUUUUUCUAGAUGCAACCAAUAAUCUUACUGUCACCUAAGGAGAUACAAAAUGCAUAUAUUUAUAGAGAUUAAACUACAGUUAUGCAGCCAAUAAAACAAUGUUUUAUUUAUAAUGCACAAUCUCCACUGUUUGUUUAACAGACUGAGCUACAGUUCGACCCUUAAGGCUGCAGAUGAUGAGCUCUAACAGUCUGUCAGCGACCUUUCUUAGCUUUCUUCCUGAUCAAAGUCUUCACUCAGCAUCACCCGCAGGUCCCAACCCUCAGUCCUUCACACUCAAUGCGCUGAAGAACAAAGGCUGGAGGAGGACGUACAGAGGAGGAAGGAGAAAGUGAGGCUGAAAAAAAGAAGAGAGCAGGGAUAGAUGGGCCUGGGAGGUCACGUUUGAUGAGAACUCUGGAUCUCCUGCAGAUGCACAAUGAGAAAGGUCGGCUCAGCUCAUCCGAUACAGAAACGCGAAGGAGGCGGGUAGAGGACAAAAGACUGGGUGGAAACGAUCUGAAGACUCAUGAAGAGGAGGAGGAGGAAGAAGGGGAGGAGGAGGGAGGCUGAGACUGAAGGGGAACCUCAUCGGACAGGCGAAGCAGCUUCAAUUAAGAUUGGUCAACAGAUAAAAAGCUUCACAUGUUUGUGUGGGAGAGUGUGACGACCUCAAUCAUUGUGGAUGUUUAAAAGCCCAGACGAACGUCAGCAUGCAUGUGUUACAAUGACUGUGCAUAACCUGAGAGCAUCCGUACCGAAGUAAGGAAAGUGCAUGAAGAGUUUGAGCUUUUGAUUUUGUUAGUCAUUUUGGCUUCCAGUCACUGUUUAGUUCCAGAUGUUGCUUUACCAUCUAAGAAGACUCCAGGGAGCAGUUUGGAGUUCCAGACAGACAGCUCUCAGAGGUUAUAUUCUCCAUUCUUCAAGGCUCACUGCUCACAGCGAGGGAUCUGUUCUCACCGCCCACCAGUCUGGGACCUUGAAGACCUGUAACGAUGGGCUGCUAGCAUGGCUUUAUCCUCUUAGACUGAGUGAAAGCGGAUAGGA